UACGAAGGGGGCUAGCGUUGCUCGGAAUCACUGGGCGUAAAGCGUGCGCAGGCGGUGAUGUAAGACAGUUGUGAAAUCCCCGGGCUCAACCUGGGAACUGCAUCUGUGACUGCAUCGCUGGAGUGCGGCAGAGGGGGGAUGGAAUUCCGCGUGUAGCAGUGAAAUGCGUAGAUAUGCGGAGGAACACCGAUGGCGAAGGCAAUCCCCUGGGCCUGCACUGACGCUCAUGCACGAAAGCGUGGGGAGCAAACAGG
rnacentral:rRNA from 1 species